UAAACGUUAAUCCUGAGACUACCAUAUACUG
rnacentral:piRNA from 1 species